rnacentral:rRNA from 1 species
AGCGAACGCUGGCGGCAGGCUUAACACAUGCAAGUCGAACGGGCACUUCGGUGCUAGUGGCAGACGGGUGAGUAACACGUGGGGACGUACCUUUCGGUUCGGAAUAAUCCAGGGAAACUUGGACUAAUACCGGAUACGCCCUUCGGGGGAAAGAUUCAUCGCCGAUAGAUCGGCCCGCGUCUGAUUAGCUAGUUGGUGAGGUAAUGGCUCACCAAGGCGACGAUCAGUAGCUGGUCUGAGAGGAUGAUCAGCCACAUUGGGACUGAGACACGGCCCAAACUCCUACGGGAGGCAGCAAUGGGGAAUAUUGGACAAUGGGCGCAAGCCUGAUCCAGCCAUGCCGCGUGAGUGAUGAAGGCCUUAGGGUUGUAAAGCUCUUUUGUCCGGGAAGAUAAUGACUGUACCGGAAGAAUAAGCCCCGGCUAACUUCGUG